CUUGCUGGAGAUCCCUGCCUACUUGAGACCUUCUAAAGAUCUAUUAUUAUGCAGAUGCACAGACAACUCACACUGCUUAUCCAGAGGGCCUAGAGGUGCUGCAGUUCCCUAAUAAUCAGAUAGAAAAGCAUUAUCCUGAUGGCACACAAGAAAUUGUGUUCCCAGAUCACACAGUGAAAUGCCUCUAUAGUGAUGGAUUCGAGGAAACUUUUUUCCCAGAUGGUACAAUAGUAAAAGUAGAAAAGAACGGAGAUAAACUAGUGGUAUUCAGUAAUGGCCAGAAGGAGUUUCACACUGCACAGUUCAAGAGGAGGGAGUACCCAGAUGGAACCGUAAAGACUGUGUACUGCAAUGGCAGGCAAGAAACCAAGUAUUUGUCUGGACGUGUUCGAAUCAAAGACAAAGAGGGUAAUGUCAUCCUCGAUAAGAAGUGAUUCCUCCCAUCAGUGGCCGAACUAUAUGACUCAUCUUACUGCCUGGUGACUGAAAAGACCAAUUAUUUCCUCGUGCCCUUCAAAUUCCUGUAGCAAGAAACACGUUCAUAGAAUGCUGCUUUGGGCUUUUCUCACACCUACAUGCAAAACAAUUGCAAGAUUAUGGAACUUCUCCCUCUUCUCUAUACCUUCCAGUGGGCCAGACUGCCAACGCAUCAGCAUUCAUAUUGCAGAUCAUCUUUGGAAGAAACAGAUCGAGCAAAGUAGAAAAUGUUGUUUGUAUUGAUCAUACUCAUACUGUUGUUCAUGAAUUUAAUUAUGAUGUUCUAAAGAUCCAAGAAGUUUGAUGUCAGAUGGUGUGGUAAUAACACUGUACUGUUUUGGUUAUGUUUCAUUACAACAAAGGAACAACUUUAAAUCUGUGCUCUUCACUACUGAAAUACUUAAUACAUUUUAUAUGUUUUGUAAAAGGAAAGUCUAAUCAAAAGAAAUCCAAGAGAUCAUUCUUUUCCGUGUGUUUACUAAGAAUUUCUGCUCAGUGUAGCCUCUGAUUAAAACAAAUGUGUGUUUUGGUUUUUUUCAAUUGACCAUCGUAUAAACAAUAAAUAUGAUUAAUUCUCUCUUUCAGUUAGGUUAGGAAAAUUGAUGUUUCCAAGGCACAAGUGCUUUUAUUCUCAGGAUUUUUUUUAACAAGGAGUGCAUGUUCUCCAGUUGUUAUGCUUACAUCCUUUUUGUUUCUAUAGUAAAAUACAAACUUGCCUUAAAUUGUUGAUUGCUAUUCAUUUAUCUGCGCAUAUAAUCCUUUAUAAUUUUAAGUUCAAUAAGGAAUAAUUUUGUUUGUGAUCUGCUUGCUCCUUGGUUAAUUAAGCACUCUUGACUCUACUUGUAGGACGUGUUCUCCUGGAAUAAAAAGCAUGCAGUCCUGCACAGAUGUAACAAGUGAUAUGUGUAACCUCCUAGGUCUCUGCGCAUGUUUUUCAAGCAAUAUUUUAUAGCACAGAAGCAAAGGGAUUCUUGAAGUAAGGGGUGCCAUUUAAUUUUGUUAGAAAAGGAGACAGCAAAGUACAUAACUAAUGAGCCUUGGCAGGUUAGGAGCCCUUCACAGACCAAUUAUGGCAAGUUAUACUAUUUUUCACAGGCUAAUUCUUACACCUUGUCUCCCUUACCUUCCAUUUGCUUUCCAUUGGUAAUCAGGAGCUGCUUGCUCUACUAGGUAUAGUGCAGGAAUACUAAUAAUUCAAAUUUUGUGGUGCGUAUUUACCUUAAUCGUAACAAAUUUGCCUACUUUGGAAAAGCCAGCUUACUAUAACUUUUCUCCUGUGGUAUGCAGUGAACAUGUUUUUAUGAAAUCUUUGGGGAUGUGAGACACAGCUGGAAAACCCUAUUUCUCUCCACAGGUUUUCUAGCACUACAAGAAGUAUGUUACAGCCAGUAUCUGGCGUCAAUUUUGAGACAAAUCUAGAAUUGUGGAUGACUUCUGAACAAUAACUUCAGUUUUAGACAGGUGGGGGCAGCAAAGGUGUACAAGAGAAGAGUAGUAAUCUUAGAGCCUCAGAUGUCUCAGUUCAGUGUCUUUUUAAUCUUCCAUGCUUAAUUAAUCAGUGAAGAAGUUCUACUGAAAGCAAAACAAAACUGCCUAAUUGCUACACUCUUCGGGUGGAUAACGCAGAGUCUGUGAGACAAAGGUUUGAUUUGCUCUUCUUGAAUACAGUAUUUGCAGUUUGUCCUGCCCUCCAAUAUCAAAUUUCUUUCUUACUUUUGGAAGCCUUCUUUAUCAAGGGCUUAUUUGGGGGGGAAAAAUACCACCACUGUAACAGCGUAUGUCAGUACAUUUUUUUUUAUAACUUGUUUUCCAUAAGAAUUUCUGCAGAAUCCUACAGGUCGUAAAAUGAAAGUUGUUUCAUAUUGUUGUUUCAUACAGUGCAGAAUUAACCUGUGGAAAGUGAUGCCAGGCAGCUCACUGGAUUGUUCAAAAAAUGUUAUUGCUUUGUGUGAUUCAUAUCACCUGCAUCUUUGUAAACUGAGAGCAUGUUGAAUGUUUCCCUAGUGUAAACUGACCAGCUUUUUCAAAUCAUAAAGCUGGGAAAAGAAAAGAAAAGA